rnacentral:lncRNA from 1 species
UAUCGUUUCCCACUUUCUUCCAGCUUCUCCUUUGUAAGAAAAACUUUAUUGUUUAGCAUAAUAUUCUCAGAUUCAGAAUGCUUUAAAGCUCCAGAUACUGCUAAUAAUUGAAGCUCAAGUUCUUUCACCUUUUCUUGGGAUUCUAGAAUUUCUCUGCUUGGAUAUGAAUUGCUUGAGCUUUGUUCAUUAGCACAAGGCUUUCCAUCUACAACAGAUUCUUUCUCUACUUGUAUAAAUUCUCCUUCAAAGGUAGUUUCAUC